GGGGGAGAGGGGAUGCCAAAAGGAGAGAGAGGAGAGAGGAUGCCAGACGGAGUGAGGAGAAAGGAUGCCAGAAUGAGAGAGGAGGAGAGAGGAUGCCAGAAGGAAAGGAGAGGAGCGAGGAUGCCAGAAGGAGAGAGAGGAGGAGAGGAUGCCAGGAGGGGGAGAGAGGAUGCCAAAAGGAGAGAGAGGAGAGAGGAUGCCAGAAGGAGAGAGAGGGGGAGAGGAUGCCAGAAGGAGAGAGGAGGGGGGAUGCCAGAAGGAGAGAGGAGAAAGGAUGCCAGAAGCAGAGAGGAGAGGAGAGAGGAUGCCAGAAGGAGAGAGGAGAGAGGAUGCCAGAAGGAGAGAGGAGAGGAGAGGAUGCCAGAAUUAGAGAGGAGGAGAGAGGAUGCCAGAAGGAAAGGAGAGGAGCGAGGAUGCCAGAAGGAGAGAGAGGAGGAGAGGAUGCCAGGAGGGGGAGAGAGGAUGCCAAAAGGAGAGAGAGGAGAGAGGAUGCCAGACGGAGUGAGGAGAAAGGAUGCCAGAAGCAGAGAGGAGAGGAGAGAGGAUGCCAGAAGGAGAGAGGAGAGAGGAUGCCAGAAGGAGAGAGGAGAGGAGAGGAUGCCAGAAGGAGAGAGGGGAGAGAGGAUGCCAAAAGGAGAGAGGAGGAGAGGAUGCCAGAAGGAGAGAGAGGAGGAGAGAGUAUGCCAAAUGGAGAGAGAGGAUAGCGGAUGUCAAAAGGAGAGAGGAUGGGAGAGGGGAUGCCAAAAGGAGAGAGAGGAGAGAGGAUGCCAAAAGGAGAGAGAGGAGAGAGGAUGCCAGAAGGAGAGAGAGGAGAGAGGAUGCCAGAAGCAGAGAGGAGAGGAGAGAGGAUGCCAGAAGCAGAGAGGAGAGAGCAUGCCAGAAGGAGAGAGGAGAGGAUGCCAGAAGGAGAGAGAGGAGAGAGGAUGCCAAAAGGAGAGAGGAGAGAGAAUGCCAGAAGGAGAGAGGAGAGAGGAUGCCAGAAGGAGAGGAGGAGAGAGGAUGCCAGAAGGAGAGAGGAUGCCAGAAGAGAGAGAGAGGAGAGAGGAUGCCAGAAUGAGAGAGGAGGAGAGAGGAUGCCAGAAGGAAAGGAGAGGAGCGAGGAUGCCAGAAGGAGAGAGAGGAGGAGAGGAAUCCAGGCUGGGGGAGAAAGGAUGCCAACAGGAGAGAGAGGAUGCCAGAAGGAGAGGAGGAGAGAGGAUGCCAGAAGGAGAGAGGAGGAGAGAGGAUGCCAGAAGGAGAGAGGAGGAGAGGAUGCCAGAAGGAGAGAGGAGGAGAGAGGAUGCCAGAAGGAGAGAGGAUGCCAGAAGGAGAGAGAGGAGGAGAGGAUGCAAGAAGGAGAGAGGAUGCCAGAAGGAGAGAGGAGAAAGGAUGCCAGAAGCAGAGAGGAGAGGAGAGAGGAUGCCAGAAGGAGAGGGGAUGCCAAGAGGAGAGAGGAGAGAGGAUGCCAGAAGGAGAGGAGGAGAGAGGAUGCCAGAAGGAGAGAGUAGGAGAGGAUGCCAGAAGGAGAGAGGAGGAGAGAGGAUGCCAUAAUGAGAGAGAGGAGAAGAGAGGAUGCCAGAAGGAGAGAGGAGAGGAGAGAGGAUGCCAGAAGGAGAGAGAGAUGCCAGAAGGAGAGAGGAGAGGAGAGAGGAUGCCAGAAGCAGAGAGGAGAGAGCAUGCCAGAAGGAGAGAGGAGAGGAGAGGAUGCCAGAAGGAGAGAGGAGGAGAGGAUGCCAGAAGGAGAGAGGAGGAGAGAGGAUGCCAUAAGGAGAGAGGAGAGAGGAUGCCAGAAGCAGAGAGGAGAGGAGAGAGGAUGCCAGAAGCAGAGAGGAGAGAGCAUGCCAGAAGGAGAGAGGAGAGGAGAGGAUGCCAGAAGGAGAGAGAGGAGAGAGGAUGCCAAAAGGAGAGAGGAGAGAGAAUGCCAGAAGGAGAGAGGAGAGGAGAGGAUGCCAGAAGGAGAGAGAGGAGAGAGGAAGAGAAGAAAUGCAAGAGGGAUAUUAGGAGGAGGCUGAUUGAAGAAUAUACAAACACACACUGAUUACACACACCCAAACACACGCACACAAACACACACAGACACGCAAACACACACACGCAAACACUCACUAAGAGAGUGGCCGGGCAGUGUUGUAUUAGUAGAUAUCUGAUACUCUGGGGGCCCUUCUGUGUGAUUUACAGCCCUGUGUAGAAGGUAUAGAGGCUUUAUUACAGGUAAGGGCUGACCACAGCCUGUCUGUCUCACACACAGGGGUCAGGGUUAAAAGUGCAAGAGCUAUUUUCUUUGUAAUACUCUUCCUUAAAGAGUGAUAAAAGCAACAGCUUUAUGUUAUCCCCGUGUAUCUGCCUGCCCCAUCAACGAGAGAGAGAGAGAGAGAGAGAGAGAGAGAGAGAGAGAGAGAGAGAGAGAGAGAGAGAGAGAGAGAGAGAGAGAGAAAGAGUGUGUGUGUUUGUGUAUUUCUGUAUUUCUGUGUGUCUCUUCCUGCAUCAUCAAUCGGUAGCUCUUUGUUGUUUUCAUUCGCUGUGUCUUCAGGACAUUGCACCAGAUGUCCUUAUUCAAGAAGUCUCUGAAUGCAGUCUUGUUUAAUAGAUGGAAUAAACAGAGAACUAUUUCUAUUUUUGAACUGGAACCCGUUGCCAAGGCAAGAAAUAUGGAACUUUUAUUGAAUCUGCCUCUUUAAACUUCUGGAGGUUCCUGGCUGCUGAAAGACACGCUACACACACACACACACACACACACACACACACACACACACUCACUUACACACACGGGCACACAGACACACACUCAAAACAUCUACACAUUAGCUUAUACACAGAGCAGAAUAUGUACACACACACACACUAGCUAGCUAAUUGGGACAGAGAAGCGGGAGCUGAAAUCUAUUAGCAGGCGGGAGGCUUGGAGCCGGAGCCGGCCAGGCUGACUGGUAGCUGAUGAGGCCUUUAGAGACACACACACACACACACACACACACACACACACACACUCUCCACUGGGCUGCUUUCGCUCUUUCUCUCCCUCUCUCUCUCUCAGCUCUCUCUCUCUCUCUCAGCCAGACCAGGCAUGGCUCUUAUUAGGGCCUGGCUGGUUAGCUCCUGCUCCUGCCUUUAAUGUCCACUUGCCCAAAUUGGACUUCAUGUGACUGGAGUAAAUUAAUAUUUUUUCACUGAGCCGCCAAACAUGAAAUCAAAGGUAUUUUUAAUGGACUUUCUCUUCUAACGGGGAAACCUGAUCUAGUAUAUAGUGUACCUGAGGAUUCAUGUUGACUCAUUUCUCUGUUUUUCCACUCCCUUCUAGUCUG
ensembl:lncRNA